rnacentral:rRNA from 1 species
CCUACGGGUGGCAGCAGUGGGGGAUAUUGCACAAUGGGGGGAACCCUGAUGCAGCGACGCCGCGUGGGUGAAGGAGUGCUUCGGCAUGUAAAGCCCUAUCGGCAGGGAAGAAGCAAGACGGUACUUGACUAAGAAGCCCCGGCUAACUACGUGCCAGCAGCCGCGGUAAUACGCAGGGGGCGAGGGUUAUCCGGAUGCACUGGGGGUAAAGGGAGCGUAGAGGGGCAUGCAAGCCAGGGGUGAAAGCCCGGGGCCCAACCCCGGGCCUGCCCUUGAUACUGCAUGGCUGGAGUGCGGGAGGGGCAGGCGGAAUUCCUGGUGUAGCGGUGAAAUGCGUAGAUAUCAGGAGGAACCCCGGCGGCGAAGGCAGCCUGCUGGACCGCGACUGACGUUGAGGCUCGAAAGCGUGGGGAGCGAACAGGAUUAGAUACCCUUGUAGUC